CCGUGGGUACAGGUCUGUACAUACUCUAUCAAUUCGUUUUCUCUUUUAUACGGCAUUGAAGUUUCCAGUAAAAUGCUGAAUGGAUCUUCAUAAAGAAACGCGGACGGAGCGCGAAGCCUCUGCUUAGAUUGCCUUUUCAUUAACGAGGCUUUGUUAGGAUGUAAUUAAGAGAGCAAAUGCCACAGGAAUAUGCAAAGUGGCAUCAAAUUAUAUCGAUUAGUGGAAAUGACUGACUGGAGAACUGGUUUGGGACAGCAAAGCUACAGCGUUAGUGGGACUUAAAGCGGGCCUGAAGCUGCGGAUUUCUAUUCCAGACAGUAGAUUCAUCCUCCUCCUAAGAGUGGAGAAGAAAGUGUACUCCACUUUAACCAAAUAACUGGAGUGAAGAACCUGUGCCAAAAAAGCAAGUUCUUAGGAGAUCACUGCAGCUCUUUGACCCCGGACUGAAUGUACCAGUGAUGGAGACGGUGGCAAAUCUGUCAGAGGCCACCAGAAUGGUUGGUUGUGCCAGAGACUGAAGACCAGCUCAGCCAAGAUGACUGGAUUUGGACCAUUCUUUUGAAAACUAAAUGCUUUUCUCAAUUGUUUUUAUUUGAUUGCAUGUUCUCUUAACUGGUUAUGUUCUAAUUUUUAUGAUGUGUAGUGAACUUAAAUGAAGGUUUGCCCUAACUGUUUGUUUAUAUACACUUUUCAUGGCUAAUAUAUUUUUUUUUAAAAGAUGGAAUGGAGACUCGAUUGUUUAACCUCCUUUACA